rnacentral:rRNA from 1 species
AGUGAACGCUGGCGGUAGGCCUAACACAUGCAAGUCGAACGGCAGCACAGUAAGAGCUUGCUCUUACGGGUGGCGAGUGGCGGACGGGUGAGGAAUACAUCGGAAUCUACUUUUUCGUGGGAGAUAACGUAGGGAAACUUACGCUAAUACCGCAUACGACCUACGGGUGAAAGCAGGGGAUCUUCGGACCUUGCGCGAUUGAAUGAGCCGAUGUCGGAUUAGCUAGUUGGCGGGGUAAAGGCCCACCAAGGCGACGAUCCGUAGCUGGUCUGAGAGGAUGAUCAGCCACACUGGAACUGAGACACGGUCCAGACUCCUACGGGAGGCAGCAGUGGGGAAUAUUGGACAAUGGGCGCAAGCCUGAUCCAGCCAUACCGCGUGGGUGAAGAAGGCCUUCGGGUUGUAAAGCCCUUUUGUUGGGAAAGAAAAGCAGCAGGUUAAUACCCCGCUGUUCUGACGGUACCCAAAGAAUAAGCACCGGCUAACGUCG